UCCAUGUUUACAUUCACGUGAAGCACGAAUUGGGUAAAUAAAAUGAAGAUGAAGAUGAAGAAGUUGAUGACAGUGAGGAAGCAGCAGAAGAUUCUCGCAGGACUGCGACAUCUAUUGGUUCAGCUACUCCGUCAGUAAAGGUAUCAGGAUGUCAUUAUGCUAAAUUAACCACUUUUUCCUUGAUUUGCUUCUGUACCUUUUUUCUGAGAAUUUGUUUGAAUCCCCAGCAAGUACUGAGGGAUUGGGAACAGGCAUCUCAAAUCACAUUGCUAGUAGGCAUUAAUUUCAGCUUCAAAGUUACGAGUAAAUACUCUGUUGUCCGGUACGUCGUCUCAGGACUGGUCACAUUUGUGUCUGCUGAAGUUCUUGAAGGCGUCAACCUCUCCCUCCUAUCAAGCGUGAUGUCGUCCCGCCUCUCCCGUGGCUCGUACAACGGUGACCGCCUCUCGACGGAGGCCGGGACCUUGGCAAGGGUGGUCGCCGACUGCACGAUCACUGCGGCGGGCUACCUGGGCGUCGGGAAGCUCCUCAACAUCACCCUGCUGCCGUCUCUGGUGAUCUGCGGCGCGUCCAUCCCAUGCACUUUCCUGACGUACAACUCGCUCUUCUGAUGGCGUUCUAUGGUGUAUCUGUCACCACCAUCCGUUCCGUAGAGGAAAUGAAGCCAACGUUGCCAUUGCCCGAAGGGGCAGUCUCGUCUUGUAUGCUCAUCGAUUUGAUUGCUGUAAAUUGAUCUGCAGCAGCUGAACCGGGCCUUGCCCUGCAAAAUUUUGAUCCCUCUCCGUUCUCUUGUUUGUUAUCGGGUCGGUGGAUGUUGUGCUCAAUCUCGAUCAUGAUUCCGUA